GGGGGAAAAAAAAGCGAAUUUUUCCAGGUUUUUUUGAGGAAAAAAAGGGAUUUUUUCUGCUUUUUUUGGGGAAAAAAAAGGAAUUUUUUUGGGGAAAAAAAGGAAUUUUUUAGAUUUUUUUGAGGAAAAAAAAGGAAUUUUUCCGAUUUUUUGGGGGGAAAAAAAAGCGAAUUUUUUUUGUUUCCUGGGGGGGAAAAAAAGCGAAUUUUUCCAGGUUUUUUUGAGGAAAAAAAGAGAAUUUUCCCAAUUUUUUGGGGGGAAAAAAAGGGAAUUUUUCGUGUUUUUUUUGAGGAAAAAACCCGGAUUUUUUCCAGGUUUUUUUGAGAGAAAAAAGGGAAUUUUUCCGAUUUUUUUAGGGAAAAAAAGGGAAUUUUUUCUGAUUUUUUGGGGGAAAAAAAGGGAAUUUUUCCAGGUUUUUUAGGGAAAAAAAAGGUAAAAAUUCCCCAAAAAAAUCCCAAUUUCUUUAUUUUUCUUUUCCCUUUUUUUCCCCCUUUUCCCUCCAAAUUUUUGGAAUUUUUUCCGAAUUUUUUUUUGUCUUAACAAAAAAUUAUUUUAAAGAUUUUUAUUUGAUUUAUUUCCGGAUUUUUCUCUUUUUUUUUUUCCUGGGAAUUCUGCAUUUUUUCCCAGGAAUUUUUCCCAUUUUUCCCCCAUUUCCUUUCCCCCCCAAAUUUUUUAUUUUAUUUUUUUUUUCCUUUUCCAGGCAUUUUUUUUUCUGGGAAUUUUUUCUCCGGGAUUUUUUUUUAUACACAAUUUUCCUCCACCCUGUUUCCUUUUCUUCCAAGAAUUCCACGUUUUUCCCGAGAAUUCCUCCUUUUUUCCUGGGAAUUCCAUGUUUUUUCCUAGGAAUUUCAGUUUUUUCCUGGGAAUUUUGUGGUUUUUUCCAAAAAUUCCACAUUUUUCCCAAAAAUUCUGCGUCUUUUCCUGAGAAAUCU
rnacentral:lncRNA from 1 species